rnacentral:rRNA from 1 species
AUUGAACGCUGGCGGAAUGCUUUACACAUGCAAGUCGAACAGCAGCACGGGGGCAACCCUGGUGGCGAGUGGCGAACGGGUGAGCAAUGUAUCGGAACGUGCCCAGUCGUGGGGGAUAACGUAGUGAAAAUUACGCUAAUACCGCAUACGAUCUAUGGAUGAAAGCGGGGGAUCGCAAGACCUCGCGCGAUUGGAGCGGCCGAUAUCAGAUUAGGUAGUUGGUGGGGUAAAGGCCCACCAAGCCAACGAUCUGUAGCUGGUCUGAGAGGACGACCAGCCACACUGGAACUGAGACACGAUCCAGACUCCUACGGGAGGCAGCAGUGGGGAAUUUUGGACAAUGGGCGAAAGCCUGAUCCAGCCAUUCCGCGUGCAGGAUGAAGGCCCUCGGGUUGUAAACUGCUUUUGUACAGAACGAAAAGGUUUCUACUAAUACUAGGAGCUCAUGACGGUACUGUAAGAAUAAGCACCGGCUAACUACGUGCCAGCCGCCGCCGUAA